UACGUAGGGGGCGAGCGUUGCCCGGAAUCAUUGGGCGUAAAGGGCGCGCAGGCGGCCUGAUUAGUCGUGGGUGAAGUCGUUCGGCUCAACCGAGCGGGGUCCUGCGAAACGGUCGGGCUGGAGCAAGGCAGGGGGUCGUGGAAUUCCCGGUGUAGUGGUGGAAUGCGUAGAGAUCGGGAGGAACACCAGUGGCGAAGGCGGCGACCUGGGCCUGUGCUGACGCUGAGGCGCGAAAGCGUGGGGAGCGAUCCGG
rnacentral:rRNA from 1 species